UGGCCCAGAGUGCUGCCCCAUGUGCACACGGGCACAUUCUCACCUGCCUCUCCUCCUUCUUCAUGUAGCAUCUCCUCUGGGGCCACUUUCCUCAUGACCUACUUCACGUCAGGCACAGCAGUGCUAACAAAGCUGAGAUUUAUACUUGAUCUUUUUUUUUUUUUUAAUUAAGAAGCAGGAGUUCUAUUUUCAUUAUAACAACCAGGAUACGGAUUCCACCGUAUGGCACUGUUCAAAAAUUCCACAUGACUUUAUUUUUUGUACUGAAAUUGAUUUCCUGUGGUACAGGCAUUCCUCUAAAAAUCAAACCCAACAACUCCAGAAAGCCACCUAAGCAGAUAAGAAAAUCAAAACUGUAUCAAUAGAGUAAUCUUCGUUCUCUUUCCUGCUUGGUUAUGAGCUUCCGAGGUCUCAUACGUGUACAACUAGGAAGAAAGGGGCCUGGGUAUUUCCUUCUGAUUUCUUGCCAGCUCAAUUACUUUGUACAUUUUCCAUCAAGGAUUUGUCUUGCUAUUAGAAACAGGCGUUGGGACUAUACAUCAUCAGACAGCUGGUCUCCGGCUGCUCCCCUCCUCUUGUACAAAACAGGGAAAACCCUGCUUGUUUGUGUUAUUCAGGGAAAGAAAUUAUUUGUGGUAACCAAUUGGACUGGUGACGGGUGAGCAUCUCCUGUCCCAUGGAUAUUUUACCUGCCUCGAAGGCCUCUGGUCUCCUAGGGGACACGGUCUAAGGUGGAUUAUGUCUCUCUUUGUGUUUCAGUAAUCACCUGACCCUAGCACAGCCAGAGAGUCUCUCCUAUAUUUUCAACAAGGUUGAAGAUCACUUCAUCCUGCAGUAAAGAGUAAAAGAAUAAUGAAUUCUCCCUAAUCGUUUGCUCAUAAUUAGUGGAAGUGGGAAAUAGAUGAAAGAUACGGAUCGUUUGGAAACCAAAAAUCUUGGGAGGCCCUGGGGGGCGUGGAUGCUUUAUCCAGAUGCGGUGUCUCGGACUUUGACGAUACCGGUUCUUCAGCACAUUUCCAGCCCUGAUGUCAGCAGGGAGACGGAGACAGCCCCCCACCCCUCCGCCCGGUGGGGCUUGGGUUGCCUUGUGAGCUCCUGUGCACUGGAGUAGCAUUUAGCCCCUUUGCAUUCAGUCUGCCAUGUGACCCUUAGUCUAUUAAAGGACAACAUUAAACGUCAGCUUCGGCAUGUUACCCCACCACGCUCAGAACAGUGAAGGUGCGCCUGCCCCACGUGGUCGGAAACCAUACUCAGUUUGAGGAUUUCAAGGCUUCCUUUGAUUCUGUGUGAUGAGGAGGGCCGGGGCCCCCCUGCACCUGUGUGAUGGUGCAGCUGCGGUCCCCAGCAGAUGCCUAGUUCUAGACCUGGGCCACAGCGUGUUGGCCUGAUUAUCCGCAGUGGGCGUGUGUUGGCUACAUACAUCAGUGCCCUUCAUCUUUCUUUAAAGCUGAUACUUCCCUCCAUGUGCUUGGUCUCUGGGCAGCCCCUCAGGUCUGAAGAGCGGACAAGUGUUCCUGUCUCUAGCUUCCAUGGUGAUAACAACUGGUCUAUUAGGGGAGCUGUUCCAAAGUGUGGUUGUCCCUUGCCCCUCGCUCGCAGAGGUCCCGAUGCACACACCUUCCCUGGAGACUUGCUGGAAUUCACAAGGGACUCAUUUUUGAAAAUUUCAUUUAGCAUUUUGUUCCAAAUUCCCCUACAUUUUCAGAGAACUUCCAGAACAGAAGCCCCUGGAGUUCCUUCUCCAGACCUUGCUGGCUUUGUGCUCUUUGCCUUUCUGGCAUCUGACUUCGGUCUCAGUAACCUGGCUUUUCCCCACCAGUCACCCCGCAGCCACGCCCGCACAUGGGUGCCACUGCCUCUCCCCCCGCCAUUCCACCAGUCUGGGCUGCAUCCGAGGCGGUGCGCCGUUGGUGCGGUUUUCAGGACUUUCCUCUUGGUGACAUGGUGUGGAGGCUGGAAAUGGGGCAUAUGGCAGGAAAGGGACUAACAAGGGUCACGUGGCAUCGUUUCUGGAACCUCCCCAAGUUCUUAGCCUUGGCCAUUGUCAGUGGAUCUAGAAUCAAUAAACCCAGGUCCCUGCUCCCGCUACUCCUCUCCUUAUCCCUUAUUCCCCAGAGAGGGGCUCAGCUGACAUCCUCUACCUCUGCCCUGGGUCGCACUGAUCCCUUUCUCCACGAAGCCUUCACAACCUGUAGCCGCAAUUUUGGGCAAUGCCGCUUUAGGACAAUUCCUCCCACCUAUGCAAAUUUACCUGGAGAAGAAGUGAUUCCUCAAAGCUGGGAUAUAUUUAAACGUUACAAAACACACUCCCUUCCUGCCACCCUCAUAAUGUCCUCCUCACAUCAACCACCAGCCCCUUGGGCGUGGCCCCAGUGGCCCCAGAAGAUAAGGGCUCCUCCCAGCCAACUGGAUCCGGACCCUGGGGAUGCAGCGUCUCCACCAUCUGGCUGGACAUAAUUUUGAUCCCUAUUGCCUUCUGGAAUUUUGUUCUCAUAGAUCAGACUGGCUUUUCCUGUGCUCCCCUCCCCCUUCGGUUUUCUAACCAGGUUGUAAGUCAGUUAUUUAGUGUCCCUGUCCCUUCCCCCAGCCUAGGGCAUUAAUUGCGUGUUCUGGGCAAGAUUCCACGAGUUCUGCUUAUAGCUUUGAGUGUUUCCGCCUCCUCCUAUGUCCCCUGCUGCCUCCUGCAGCUCUCAUGACCUCUCCCCACUCUGAACUCCUGCCACCUGCGGGACUAGGUGUCACUGCAUCACUUACCUUUGGUUGCUACAUCCUCAGGGUGGACCAGAUCACAUCCCUUCUUUGUCCCUACAAGGAGCCAUUUUGAACUCCAUUCUGUUGGUCUCCAUGGGUGUGAGGACAGUCCAGCUCCCCCCACACCCAGCCCCUGAGACCUGCCCCCAAGCUGUAAGGCGCUAGCAUAGUUCUUGGGCUCUUUGGAAGCCUCUGUAGCAAGACAGGCUGUUAGGGCUCACCUCCCUGCUCUUCUUGCUCAGCCACAGUCACGCUCCCAUUCAACCAGCCCGUUUGGCCAACGUUUAGUUAUUGACGUCUACAUGCUCAAGGCAUUGUGUUGGGCACCAGGGUGGGGAGAGGGUGGCAAAGACCGCUUUGUUUGAUGUAGGGGUGGGGUAGGUGAACACAUGGAAAAUUGUGAUGUGAUGUGGCAAGCCCCUAGAGAUAGGAAACAGCUGGGCCCUGCAGAGCCUUUGUGCAAAUGAGGAAAGGGGGUCCAUCCAGGUAGACCCAGCCCUUCAGGUGUGUGGCUUAGGAAACAGAAUGUGGGCUGGAUUUCAGCUCCUACUCAUCCUUCCAGCUAGUGCCCUUAACCUUCAAGAAGGGCAUAGCAGGGAGCCGAGGCAGGAAUGCGUGGGCUGCAUGAGAUGUUCAG